rnacentral:tmRNA from 1 species
GGGGCCGAUUUGGAUUCGACGCCGGUAACAAAGCUCUGCGGUGCAUGCCGUGAUGGCAGCCAAUCACGUUAAUCCAAAGCUGUAACUUAAAUAGUUGCCAACGACGACAACUACGCUCUAGCGGCUUAAACCCCGCUAGCAGUCUUUAACAAGGUGCCCGUACCGCGUUAACGACUGUCAUAUAGAACGGGAUCGCAGCAACGCUCGCCCUGGGCCGCGCUGUUAAACUUUUACAGGGAUCGCCAAGCACGUCCUGACCGUUGGGCUGUGUGCGGCUAAAUCAAUAAACGGAACCUAAGCAUGUAGAGCCCUGAGUGGCGGACUGGCGGACGCGGGUUCAAUUCCCGCCGGCUCCACCA